UACGAAGGGGGCUAGCGUUGCUCGGAAUCACUGGGCGUAAAGGGUGCGUAGGCGGGUCUUUAAGUCAGGGGUGAAAUCCUGGAGCUCAACUCCAGAACUGCCUUUGAUACUGAAGAUCUUGAGUUCGGGAGAGGUGAGUGGAACUGCGAGUGUAGAGGUGAAAUUCGUAGAUAUUCGGAGGAACACCAGUGGCGAAGGCGGCAUCCUGGACCGGCAUUGACGCUGAGGCGCGAAAGCCAGGGGAGCAAACGGG
rnacentral:rRNA from 1 species